GAAAAGUGACAACUGAUUUUAUUGACUGUUUUCAUUAUAACACAUGACAGUGGGAAUAUUUUUCACUGUUAAGAUUUUUGAAUGGAAGAAAAGUGCAGUUAGUCUGAGUUCCUUACAUUCAUUAGAAGCAAGACUAUUGAAACCAUCAACAUUUACAAUGACACGUAAGCAAACACCAGAAUCAGUGCCAAUAAAUACACAGAGUACCAAAAUAAAUAUUUACAGAAUUAAAAAUAUAACAAACACUGAUUAGGAUAUCCUUGUGAACUGCCAGGGAAGAAAGACACCUAUUGCUAUCAGUUAGGUUGUAAAUACAUUAAGAAUACAGUGACUCGAGGAGACACAUACUCAUCGAAGUUUGUAGAGGUGGAAAGGAGCAGAGUGUGUCUAACAGUCUGUUAUAAAAACAGCCCCCCAGAAUGUUGUGAGCUUUCCUUAAGAAAAAGUUGGUGCACACAGGCCCACCAGAUUAUUACCAAACCUUUUAGAUGAGAAGAGUGGGGAGUUCUGGCUUUACUCACUCAUUAUCUCAAAUAGGUCAUACGCUACCUUACAGGAGGUGGCUGACACAAAACAAUACAAGGAAAUAUUGUAAUUAACAGUGGUCUGUCAGCUAUUUCACAUCUUACAGAAACAGGCUGAGUCACCUCUAACAGGACACACACAUCUCCUUCAGCAUGCAGGAAACACAGAGAGCAUUGGUUUGUCUGAUGCAGUCCCUGCUACCCUUUUCUCAGGCACACCAUGAUGUUUAAGCAGAGUGGGCUGUCAUAAAAGACUAAAGCCAUGUUGUAUUUUCUGGGUUUGUUGUAUUUUCUAUCACCUACAUUCAUAUCUCAUCUUGCAUUUCAACAGGACCUCAACACCAGGCUUCAACACCAGAACUUUUCUGAGACAGAAUCAGGGAAAAUUCAGAUGAAGCCAAGUUAUGAGAUCUUCACUCAAUAUAAACCAACAGCACUUACAGAUCCACUGAUAUCAGAUACAAUACUGGUGGAACGAGUUAUUGUCUAGCUGUUAAAAUUUCACUCAUGGUAGAGGAUUUAUUUUAAUUUCACAAAAAAACAACAGCUUUAGUCUUGCUCCCCCUUAUCCAAAUUACCCCCAUUAUCCAAAAGCAGGAUAAUGUUGCUUAGUGCUUGGUGCUGCUUCACGGUGUGUCUUACACUCCCUCCCUCCCUCCCCACUUGUCCUUGGCCUGCAAGGGUGCAGCCAGAGCUCUCCACUCUGCCUAGGGCCUGGGUCUUUGCAUCUUCCUGGCAAAAUGAGGGUGGAAGAGCAAUGAGAUGCCAUAGGCCAGUCCUGGGCUACAGGGGGGUUGUGGAUGUUUCCAUGCUGAAACUGCCCUUAGAAAGUAAGACACUGGGCACUGCUCAGGUGUUGAUGAGAGCAGUCACACAGUAGUCCACCUGCAGGAGCACUGGCUUCAGCACACCCAAGCUCACAGCAGCCCCUCACCCAGUGUAACACAGCAACCCGAGCAUCAGUGCAAGAAAGAAAGGAUACAGGGUUUUUUAGGCAUAUGUGUAACUCUUUUUCCACAAGGACAAGAGGUCCAGGCCUUGCUUUCAGCCCAUCUCCCAGAUGCCCUAUAAGCCCUCUCACCCCAUCACAGCACCACCACCCUGCCUUUUCCUGCUGCUGUCCGGGGCUGACACUUCCACCUGGCAACACCUUGCACCCCUCUGCUGGCACCACAUGGCAAGGUCACACAGCAAAUUCGGCUGGUGACUUGGGGUGCCUUGUUCCCCCAGUCCACAGGCUGCAGGUGAGUUGGGACACACCUUCCCCUCUGCUGCCAUUAACCAAGAAUUACAUUUUAAGGUCAGCCUUAAUUCAAAGCAGAUACAACCAAUUUUCUUUUACAAGCACAUUAUGUUCAAGGCUUCCAAUGUAUCUGCAUAAAAAGCCCAUGGAAACAACCUGAUACUGAUUUAGCAACUGUCUUGAUGCAACAUCUUCCAAAAUAAUAAAAAUCUGUUAAAGAUCUUACCAUUCAGUCCCCACAUACCUUCUCCCUAAUGACACAUUAAAAUGUGGCUGUGCAAUAAUUAAAGGUAGGCUUCAUUAGUUACCAUAUCAAAAACAUGAACAAUGACAAAACAAGCAGGGGGUUUAGAGCUCUGGAAAGAAGCUGGUCUUGUUUUUGCCAUCAAGAGUUAAAUUAAGGAAGGCAGCGAUUGUGUUAGCUGUAAUUUAAACAUGCUGAGCACUGGAGUUAUGUGCAGGAGUACAGCUUGUAAAAAUGAAAAACAAUGGAAAGACAUGUUUUGCAUCCAGAUCAGUGAAAACACUACCACAGUAAUAUAAAAGAUUGCAAAACACCUGAAUAAUGUUACUCUUAAAAAAGAAGGAAAAAAAUAAUAAAAAAGGAAGACUUGUUUAAGAAACACUUUAUAUUUCCUUAGGAUUAAAAGAUUAAGGACCUCUGCCAGUUCUUACUGGAGUCAGUGGAAGCUUUGCCACAGCAGAACUGGACCCUGGCAGAAGAUUGUCCUGUUGGCAAAUGCCAGUUUCCUAAUUUUGUGGCUAUAGCUGGAUUAGCUUUUACUGCAAAGCAUUGCUUGGAUGUGAUGUCAAAGUAGGCAAAGCAAUCUUCUUUUAUCCAUUGCUACAAGAAGCCUUUUAUCCUGGCAGUUUAAAUUCCUUGCCCUGUGAGGUGCUUAACCUUUUCCUCUCUGUACUACAACUUUGGCUCUAUUUAUUUAAGUAUGUGCAGAAAGGAAAAAGGAAAGCAAAGAUAAAAUCUGGGCACAGUCUCCAAAACAAACAGCUCCUGGGCUUUCCUACAAGAGUGACCUGCUUCCUUGCUACAUUUACUAAAUUUUUCACAACAGGAAAAUGGAAGAAUGUAUUCCAUGCAAUGCAAAAUACCACUUAACAUGCUCACCCAUGUGUAUGAGAUCACACAGCAGACAUCUCCAUUUUAAAUAUCUUUGCCACUUAUUCUGAGGGGGUUUAAUUUUUUCAUGACCAAGAAGCAGAAGCUAAGACCUCCUGAAGAGGAGGCAUAGUGGCAGCAGACUCAUCUUUUCUGGUGCUGGAAGGCUACAUCAAAAAUCUGUUUCCCAAGCAACUGCAGUAUGUCUGAGAAGGAAUGAGAGGCAUACAGGAAAAAAAAAAAAAAAACAACCCAAAACAUCCUAGGCAAUAGUACUCACUGUUUUAGGUGGAGAAGCCUUCUAAGGCAAGAAAAGUUUUAACAACCUGCUUUUGCAGGAAUCAAGGCCCUCAUGAUGUGGCUCAAGUAGUUAUAGCUAUUAUUCCUUUGCAUAUGGCAAGUUCUUCCAUUUCUCUUUACAUAAAAUGGACCUAGGGAACACCAAAUCUGUGCUGAAUGUUCCUACCCGAGAUGCCCACAAGGAAGACAAGGUAUGAACUAAUGAUGAGUAAAAAAUUCCUAAAUUAAAAAUACAGUGAGCUAAAUUAAAAAUAAAUUGUCCCCUGAAAACAAACAGCAACUCCUGCUCACAGUAAACAGCACAUGGACUCAGGACAAGGGAAUCCUAUCAUCCCAUCUCUCAGUGGAAGGGAGGGAUGUUCACCAGGAACCCGUCCCAGGCCACUGGGGACAACUGACAGUGUGUUCUUAGCAUUGAAUCUCAGAAGAGUCAUUUGUUGUGCAGUUCUGCUUGAACACGUGGGGUUAUGUCACCAUAAUAAAAACAUAAACAAAGGGGAGAAAAAAGAAAAGACAAAAUAAAAACCAAAAUCAAACCCUGCAGAAGCUGUCAUGUGUGAACCCAGCCAAGACUCAUUUCUGCAUUGUCUUUGAGUUGGUGUCAAUUUGUUUUUCUGAGACAGAAGCCCCAGCCUUUCAUAUCAGUAACUAUGAAAAUACAUUUUCAGGCCACCUUGCCUAGAAUCCCCCAUUGUGCCUGUUGGAUAACCAUCUGUCUUGUAAGUGGCUAUUGUUACUGUGAUCGGUCCCUUUCAUACCAUUAUCUUUCUGAAAAGCCUUUUCUGAAAGUAGUCCAUUAGAGCAGGGAAAGAAAAACCUCAGUGCAUGGCCACGAAGUAGAAUCAAUGUCUCCCUUUGAUCUGCAAGCUCAGUCAGUAUUACAAAUUUAAGAAACAACAAGGUUUUGCUUUGCUAAGCAAAGCCUGCUAAUUUGGCUCAUCUGCACUCUUAGCAUCUUACUGAAAAAUGCCAUCUCUAUCAGAUGUUUUAAGACUUUGGUGCAAUACUUGCUUAGAUAAAUAAUUUUGUAAGAUUCAUUAAAAAAUAAUCAGUGAACUAAUUUUCAUAGUGUACAUCUAUGCACAUAAUUUUUAAAAUUCAAUCCUCUACUACCCUGAAUGGUGGUGAGGAAAUUCACAGUGGAUGAAGAAAAUGCUGGUUAUUGAUGGAAUAAGAUGAACAUCGUAUUUUCUUAUUCUAGUCAUGGAAUUUCCUCUGAAUUCUACACAAAUGUUCGAGUGCUAUAACUGGCAAGAGCAAAAUGCAUAUGUACUACAUGGAAAAUAAAACCUUUUAUGUCUGUUGCAGGCCACACAUUUGGUACUGGAAACGUAGCUCCUAUCAUGACAAAACAAGUCCACAAAAACAUAAUUUCAUGCUACUGAAAGGAAAUAUUUUGUGCUGAUAUAAAGGACAGGAGUGUGUACCACUGAAAUCACUGUAGAUAGCUAUAAAACACUAUGCAAUAUAUAGAAAAACCUCUAAGAACUUACAAAAUUUACCAGUAGGGACCUGAAAGUGCAAAGAGUACACAUAACUAAAUAUCGAGUCCUGAUCUAUAAAAUCCUUUAUGAAUGACAUACAGCUGAUAAUUACAAAGCAUCAUUCAGACCACCAAAUAACAAGUGAAACAAAUAAAGAAAAAUAUACUUUAAGGAAAUCAAAACAAUGACACCAUUGGGAAUGUUAUCUUUGGGACUCAGAACACCGUUUCUACCUCAAUAUCUACCAAAGACAAGGAAAAUAUAUGCUUGAACAGGAUAACACAAAUAAGAAUGCAAGCUACCACAAAAUGCCUCAGGACUAUUACCUCUUUAUGUCUCAGCCUUUAAAUCCAGCAAGCCAUUAACUGCUUGUUCUUAGGCAUCUCACAGUAUUUUACAGGGAUCUUUCAGGAAUUAUAUAUAGGUCUAAAGAAAGCCUUUGAACCUCCUUUCAAUGAUUGUUUUAGGCAUUGUGUGGAGUUAUACAAAGGUAUUUGUAUGAAAAUUGAAAGCCCUGGUAAAUAUUAGAUUUUCUAUCACCUUUCCAAAUAAAAAACAUAGAUGGCUUAAAGACAAAAGCGAAUUUUGGAAGUACAAAGGUAAGUUGAACAUUAAAUUGUAUCUUUACUCUCACACAACCAUUACCCUGAAUCAACGUCAGCACGUCGCAAUGAUUCAAACUACUGACGCCCUACUACCAUCUACUUUCCCAUUUUCCUUUUAAGGAUAUGAUUGUCCUUAAAAUAUGUACAUAGCAAGCAGCCAAACAAACCGCCAAGAGAUUUGCAAAAUGUACUUAGGGUGGGUAUGUGACAGAAAGCUUGAGGGAGUGGCUCCGGAGCCUGGGCAGAUGUCCUGCCUCCCACCCGCGCUCCAGCCAGCCCAGGGCUCCUCAUUCCCGAGGAGGAGGCUGCCCCAUGCAGAGGAUGGAGGGAAAAACGCGGCAGAAAACAAAGGAGAGAGAGAAGAAUGAAGGGAAGCCAAAGCAUUUUAAUGAUGAUUCGUGUUAGUGGUUACGUGAGAGGGAGUUAGUCUAGUGUCACACUAUUGGUUUCUCAAUGCAGACAUGCCACAAUGCAAACAAAACACGUAUGAUGAAUAAUUUGACACACACAAGUCCUGUAGAGAUGGCAGCUGGUAUCUCCUAGUGGGUUUAAAGAUGCACCACUCCUACUACCUGUACUCAGUGCUUCCAGUUUUUAUGGUACUACCACCACAUCCUCCCUCCCUCUCAACUUCCAGUACCCUAUAGAAUCUCUCAGCACAACUUGUCCUUAGAACAAAAUGGGGAAUUAUGAUUUUUCUGCAGAGUUGUCAUGCAAGGAAAGAUGCAUCCCUCACAGUCAAACAAAAACAAUGGGAAAAGAAAUGCCAUGUUUAGGGGUGAGGAGCAGGAUAAUAUUCCGUGUUCUGUACAUACACCCUUUAGAGGGUGUUUCAGCUUUGACUUUCUAAAAUGCACGAGUGGAGUCAGACCAAAUGCAAAUCCCUUUCUCGGGCAGAGGAAAGCGUCACCAGCGUGUUUGGAGGCAGAUGUGGAGCACAGCCCCCAGGCCGUGCGUGGGAGCGCUCACACGGGUGUGAGUGUGCACGGGGAGUGCCGCGGCUGGCGCAGGGACCCUGCCAGGAGCUGUGUGCUCGCUGCACUUAUGUACAACACGUCUGUGUGAGUGGGCACACAGGGAACCACACACCUCCACGUCAGGAAGAAAACAUAAAAUAAUCCUCUUUGAAGUGUAUUAAGGUUCUUAAACCAUGAAAAAAGGGACUGGUUAGGGAAACUAACACUUUCACUGGGAUGCUGCAACUCGGUCUUAAAUUCUGCAGCAAUUUCAAAACUGGAUGUCAAUUUCACCUUCAUAACUCUAAGGUCAUUUCCCCAGUGAACCACAAAUCAUGCAUAUACAUAUAUACAAUUCUUACUAUGGUAUUUCCUGGCUUUUUAUGGUUUGCCUACAACCUUAAUAUCCUUCAAAUGUAUAUUCUGUAUAGUUAUUUUCCUUUUUUUCCCUUUUGAUUUAAGAGACAAUAAAACCAACUGCUAUGUAAGAUCAGACCCAUUAAUUUCAAUGACGUGAAUUUAGGAUUCUCUGCAUAAUAUAGAAAUGUAUAUUUUUAAAAUGUAUAUUAUUUUUUAGAUACACUGGAGCAUAUAUUUUAUAUUAACUGUGGUCUGAUGAUUAAAUACUUAUAUCAAAAUAUUUUGUAAAUACAUAACAUUUACCUUUAGACUUCAGUGAUUUUUAGAGCUUUUUCAGUGUAUCAUAAAAAUAUGUCCUCAGGCACAUUAAAACCCUAUUAUAUUUCUUUGAAAUGUUGCCAAUGCCCAUGUACAGUAGCCACUACUCAAAAAUGUCAUGGCCAUUAAUACAUUUCUCCUAAGAUCCAAGCUCAUCAGACCAUUUUAUGUACUACUAGCAUACCAUAUUUUUUCUCUCUUAACAUAAAAUUAUUCUGACAUUAUUGUGAAUGAAAAUAAAAAGCAACAAGAACCCAAACUUUUUUUAAAUAGUCAAAAACUAAUUUUAUAUAUUUUAAAAAAUAAUACUUAAAAAACAAGUUUCUUUGCUGGGUUCCUUCUUGGUAAGGUUUAAGCCCAGAGCAACUUUUGUCUAAACCCCUGAAAAUAGAGGUUUGCAGUGGCAGUGCUGUCAGAACAUCAGCUCUGAGCCAUGGAAUGUGCCACUGGAAUAAAAUCAGCACUUCAGACUUACUUAUCUGGGGAUGCAUGAGCCCAUACAAACCAGAAUUUUUCUCUAAUUUAAGGUACUUACACAAAGUUCUAUCCUUUUAGAACUGUAAAAUUAUCUACCUAUAAAAACUAACUCUUGCUUAAACUCUAGAUAAUAAGGACAGGUGAUUUUUUUUUUAAUAAAAAAUCUGCUAAAACACGUAUAUAUUUACACAUGGCGAGCAAGUUAUUGUAUAAAUGUGGACAGUGUGUAUAUAUUGGCAUUUAAUAAAAUGUUUCCCUGAACCUGAUUGUAUGCAUUAUUGGACAAGUAUUGAUGUAAACAUCUGAACCUACGUCAGGUGUCUCUUGUUACCCAUUUACAUUAGACCAGAUCAAAACCAACCAGACAGACAGACAAACGAAAAUAUAUUAUCCUGUUAGACGAGUCCACCUAACUCCUUAGUUUUAUCUCCUGCACACAAGUCAAUCAAGUCUGCUGAUGAGCAGUGUUCUCGUUCCUACAGCAGGUAAAAUACCUGUUAGGUGGGUUGUUUUCUGCUUGGCAUUUUUUCCAACAUCUCGUGGAGCAAACAUCAUUUCCAGAGCCAGCCAGGCACCCAGCCUCCACUCCUCCCCUAGAAAUGAUUAAAAGAUAAGUGUAUAGGAGAACCUCUCAUGUUGCUCCUUUUGUAGCACUGUUCCCUUGAAGAACUCAUGACACUGCUUUGCACGAGGAAGGAUGGUCAUAAUCCAAGUCCUGCUUCCAGAAAGGCAUGUAAAAAUGAACCUCCCCAGUGUUUAGUGUUGCAGAAAAAAGAUACAAAUGUAAAAAAAAGGUGCUCAAAAAGAAGUUGACUUCUUGUAUUUAGCCAUACAGUCUAGUAAGGAGAGACUCAGAAGUGCAGGCCCACAGAGUACAGUGAAGGAAACCUUUUAGGUGACUUUCUUAGGUGAUGCAAAACUAACAUAUUAUCUGUGGUUUCCUAUGCAGACUUUCCCACAUGGACAUUGCUCUCUGCCUUUGCCUCACUUCUUACCCAACUACUUUUUGGCACUGUCCUGGUACGUGGCAGUUUUCACCGUUGUCCCUGCUACGCCCCUGUUACUGACCCGGCGUACCAGGACUUUGGAGACAGGGAUUUUUGUUCUGUGCAUCUCACUUUUGGCCAGGUGAUGGUGUGCGACGUGAUGGCUGUUACUGGCAUCUGCUCCAUGGCUGGCGGAAUGCGAGGAAAGGUGUUUAAUGCUGAUGGGUAUCUUGGAGUCCUUCGCUGUGCUGGAGGGUGUUUUCAGUGAGCUCACGGUCGUUAUUGGAGACACGGGCUUGGAGCGUGGCACGCUGGGGACUUCCUCAUUUGUGGGCCCCGCUGGUGGGUUCUCAUCCGGCUCAGCAUAAAGGUCAUAGAGAGCAUCGCCACUGUAGCUAUCCCUGGGAAGGGUUUCCUUCUGGAUGCUUACGGAACUAUCUUCCUCGGGACCGGGGGUGGUGGAAUCCCAGUAGCCCUCAUCGCUGUUUGGGACACCCUCGUGCUGCUCCUUUUCCCUGCUCUUCUGCUCCUCUUUAUGGUUCAGGUGAAUGGCAAUCUGGUGGUGGCCACCACGUUUCACCAUCACCCUAUUCUGGGCCCCCUCGGUACCUCGGGUUUCCUUCAACCCCUCGGGCUUCUUGGUCCCUCCUCCGCUUCCUCCUCCUUGCAUCUGAUUCUCGUCUGUCUGUGACAGCAUAUCCCAGAACUCCUGCAGGCAGGUGUCAUCCACCUGGUCGGGGCUGGCCAUCUCC
rnacentral:lncRNA from 1 species